UGCGCAGCGAGGUCACGCAGAAGGUGUAC
rnacentral:piRNA from 2 species